rnacentral:rRNA from 1 species
UACGUAGGGUCCGAGCGUUGUCCGGAAUCAUUGGGCGUAAAGAGCGCGUAGGCGGCCCUGUAAGUCCGCUGUGAAAGUCAAGGGCUCAACCCUUGGAUGCCGGUGGAUACUGUCUGGCUCGAGUCCGGAAGAGGAGUGUGGAAUUCCUGGUGUAGCGGUGAAAUGCGCAGAUAUCAGGAGGAACACCAAUGGCGAAGGCAGCACUCUGGGACGUGACUGACGCUGAGACGCGAAAGCGUGGGGAGCAAACAGG